GGAGAUGUGGCUGAGUGGUUGAAAGCCUUGGUUUGCUA
rnacentral:tRNA from 1 species